rnacentral:rRNA from 1 species
UACGUAGGGGGCAAGUGUUAUCCGGAAUCACUGGGCGUAAAGGGUCUGCAGGUGGUUUCCUAAGUCCAGUGUUAAACCUUGAGGCUCAACCUCAAAUCUGCAUUGGAAACUAGGAGACUUGAGUAUAGUAGGGGUAGAGGGAAUUUCCAGUGGAGCGGUGAAAUGCGUAGAUAUUGGAAAGAACACCGAUGGCGAAGGCACUCUACUGGGCUAUUACUGACACUCAGAGACGAAAGCUAGGGGAGCAAAUGGG